ensembl:lncRNA novel transcript
GCUUAGGAAACCACCCCACAAUGGCAGGAGACACCAUGAGAUGUUUUCUACUGUAGAAACUUUCUCAUUAGAAAUAGCCCAUUUAUACAGGGGACUGGCUAAUGUUUUUCUAUGAGUAUCAUUAGCCAGUGUCUCAAAGUGGUGAAGAGUAAGUAUAUAGCAUCUUUCAAAAGACUGCAACCUGGAACAAGGAGAGACAAAGGGAAGGAGGAGUCUGGAGCCAUAUUGAAGAUGAAAUUGAGAUAUGGACUAGGUGGUGGAUCGUUUUUAUAAGAGGACAUAAAAGAGGAUGCUAAAGCUAAUUGCCACAAUCAGAACUCAAAGACCUAGCAAAUGCAAGGAUACAAUAAGAAGUCAGCAGUCUGCAACCCAGAAGAGGACCCUCACUGGAACCCAGGAAUGUUGGCACUCUGAACUUAGAUUUUCCAGCCUCUAGAAUGCCUUAUGCAAAUCCUGGAAGAUAUCAAUUCUGAGGGCUGGGGUGUAUCUUGAUCACCUUUGGAAUCUACCACUGCAUGGAGCACAGCACUUACCACCUAGUAGUUCUGUUUGUUUCCAAGUUUGGAAGAAACAUAAUUGAAUCAUUUUGAGGAAUUCCAAUCCCUGACAAGAUGCCAGUGCUAUUUUACAGCAAGAGUAGACGAGGAAGGCUAUACUACGUGGUCCUGGGCAAGUUAUUUAAAUUCUCUGUGCCUCAGUUUUCUGAACCGUAAGAUGGGAAGAAUAAUAGUAACUACCUCUGGAGGCUGUUGUAAAAGUUAAAUGAUCUGAUCUAUGUAAAGCACUUAGAACAGUACCUGGUAUAUAAGUGUGUGAUAAAUAAAAUCCAAUAUGAAGAAGA